CCUACGGGCGGCAGCAGUAGGGAAUUUUCGUCAAUGGGCGCAAGCCUGAACGAGCAAUGCCGCGUGAACGAGGAAGGUCUUCGGAUCGUAAAGUUCUGUUGAAGGGGAAAAGAGCGGAGAGAGGAAAUGGUCUCCGAUUGAUAUUACCCUUCGAGGAAGUCACGGCUAACUACGUGCGAGCAGCCGCGGUAAUACGUAGGUGGCGAACGAUAUCCCGAAUGAUUGGGCGUAAAGGGUGCGUAGGCGGCCUGCUAAGUCUGGAGUGAAAGGUACCGGCUAAACCGGUACAGGCUCUGGAAACUGGCGGGCUAGAGAGCAGGAGAGGGGGGUGGAACUCCAUGUGUAGCGGUAAAAGGCGUAGAGAUAUGGAAGAACACCAGUGGCGAAGGCGGCCGCCUGACCUGUUACUGACGCUGAGGCACGAAAGCGUGGGGAGCAAAUAGGAUUAGAUACCCUGGUAGUC
rnacentral:rRNA from 1 species